rnacentral:rRNA from 1 species
AAAGAAACUAACAAGGAUUCCCUUAGUAACUGCGAGUGAAGAGGGAAGAGCUCAAAUUUAAAAUCUGGCAGUGUUUUGCUGUCCGAGUUGUAAUCUAGAGAAGUGCUGCCCGUGCUGGACCAUGUACAAGUCUCCUGGAAUGGAGCGUCACAGAGGGUGAGAAUCCCGUCUUUGACAUGGACUACCAGUGCAUUUGUGGUGUGCUCUCAAAGAGUCGAGUUGUUUGGGAAUGCAGCUCUAAAUGGGUGGUAAACUCCAUCUAAAGCUAAAUAUUGGCGAGAGACCGAUAGCGAACAAGUACCGUGAGGGAAAGAUGAAAAGAACUUUGGAAAGAGAGUUAAACAGUAUGUGAAAUUGUUGAAAGGGAAACGCUUAAAGUCAGUCGUGUCGGCCAGGGAUCAACUCAGCUUUCUCUGCUGGGUGUACUUCCUGAUCUGAUGGGCCAACAUCAGUUUUGACUGCUGGAGAAGGACAGAGGGAAUGUGGCACCUUUGGGUGUGUUAUAGCUCUCUGUCAGAUGCAGUGGUUGGGACUGAGGAUUGCAGCAUGCCGCAAGGCCGGGUCGUUUUGACCACGUUCAUGCUGAGGAUGUUGGCAUAAUGGCUUUAAUCGACCCGUCUUGA